rnacentral:SRP_RNA from 1 species
GCAGACCCCUCGCGUGGCGUCAUCCCGCUGAACUCCCCCAGGGCCGGAAGGCAGCAAGGGUAGGCAGGCUCUGGCGGGUGCGCGGGGGGUCCCGUCG